rnacentral:rRNA from 1 species
AACGACUCUCGGCAACGGAUAUCUCGGCUCUCGCAUCGAUGAAGAACGUAGCGAAAUGCGAUACUUGGUGUGAAUUGCAGAAUCCCGUGAACCAUCGAGUCUUUGAACGCAAGUUGCGCCCCAAGCCUUCGGGCCGAGGGCACGUCUGCCUGGGUGUCACAAA